UACGGAGGGUGCAAGCGUUAAUCGGAUUUAUUGGGCGUAAAGGGCGCGUAGGCGGGAUUGCAAGUCAGACGUGAAAUCCCGGGGCUUAACCCCGGAACAGCAUCUGAAACUCCAAUUCUAGAGGAUAGACGGGGAAAACGGAAUUCCACGAGUAGCGGUGAAAUGCGUAGAUAUGUGGAAGAACACCGGUGGCGAAGGCGGUUUUCUAGUUUAUUCCUGACGCUAAAGCGCGAAAGCUAGGGGAGCAAACAGG
rnacentral:rRNA from 1 species